UACAGAGGGUGCGAGCGUUAAUCGGAAUUACUGGGCGUAAAGCGUGCGUAGACGGUUAUUUAAGUCGGAUGUGAAAGCCCCGGGCUCAACCUGGGAAUUGCAUUCGAGACUGAAUAGCUAGGGUACGGUAGAGGGAAGCGGAAUUUCCGGUGUAGCGGUGAAAUGCGUAGAUAUCGGAAGGAACAUCAGUGGCGAAAGCGGCUGCCUGGACCAGUACCGACGUUCAGGCACGAAAGCGUGGGGAGCAAACAGG
rnacentral:rRNA from 1 species